rnacentral:tRNA from 1 species
UAGCUCAGUUGGUAGAGCAGUUGGCUUUUAACCAAUUGGUCGUAGGUUCGAAUC